rnacentral:rRNA from 1 species
GAUGAACGCUAGCUACAGGCUUAACACAUGCAGGUCGAGGGGUAACGAGAGGAAAGCUUGCUUUCCUUGUCGACGACCGGCGCACGGGUGAGUAACGCGUAUCCAACCUGCCCCCAACUAGGGAAUAACCUUGCGAAAGUAAGACUAAUACCCUAGAAUUUCCUCAGAUGUCAUCUGACGAGGAAUAAAGAUUUAUCGGUUGUGGAUGGGGAUGAGUCUGAUUAGCUUGUUGGUGGGUUAACGGCCCACCAAGGCAACGAUCAGUAGGGGAUCUGAGAGGAAGGUCCCCCACAUUGGAACUGAGACACGGUCCAAACUCCUACGGGAGGCAGCAGUGAGGAAUAUUGGUCAAUGGGCGGAAGCCUGAACCAGCCAAGUAGCGUGCAGUAUGACGGCCCUAUGGGUUGUAAACUGCUUUUAUACAGGAAUAAAGUUAACCACGUGUGGUUAUUUGUAGGUACUGUAUGAAUAAGGACCGGCUAAUUCCGUGCCAGCAGCCGCCGUAA